AACGCACCUUGCGCUCUUUGGUUAUUCCGAAGAGCAUGCUUGCUUGAGUAACGGAAAAGCUCAACCCCGCUUUCUUUAUUGAGAGUAGUUUGGGUUAGGAUCAUGAUGCCUUGUUGACUCCUUUGGAGUGUAACUGCAUUGAAAUAAAACAAGUCGAACCUUUGAUUUUACGCAGGCUUCGGCUAGCUAUUGUUGUAUAACUUCGGUCUCAAUAGUGUAUGCAUUAAAUCUAUAAAAGUAGACUUAUCAAACUUUUUAGUAGUGUUGCGAAAGUGACUGCUACCAAAUUUUUUAAGCUUGUUCUCAAAUCAAGUAGGACUACCCGCUGAACUUAA
rnacentral:rRNA from 1 species